GACGAACGCGAGCGGCAGGCCUAAUACAUGCAAGUCGAACGGUAAGGUCUCUUCGGAGAUACACGAGUGGCGCACGGGUGCGUAACGCGUAUACAACCUACCCUUUAGAGGAGAAUAACUUCUGGAAACGGGAGCUAAUACUCCAUAUCCACUUAGUAUCGCAUGGUACAGAGUGAAAAUGCUCCGGCGCUAAGGGAUGGGUAUGCGUAACAUUAGCUAGUUGGUGAGGUAAUGGCUCACCAAGGCAACGAUGUUUAGCUGGUCUGAGAGGAUGAUCAGCCACACGGGCACUGAGACACGGGCCCG
rnacentral:rRNA from 1 species